rnacentral:rRNA from 1 species
UUUACAGCCAAUACCACCCUCAACACACCUGAUCCCCUCUGAUCAUGAAGCCAAGCAAGAUCGGGUCUGGUUAGUACUUGGAAGAAAUGAGCUGCAAACAGGCAGCACCU